rnacentral:rRNA from 1 species
AUGAUGGGUGCAGCGAGGAGCGAGUCCUCGCAGGUGUUGUGCAGCACGAUGGUGCUCUUGCCCCCCAUGAAGAUCUCCGAGGUGUACUCGUCCAUGGCCCUCUUGCUGUCUCCAACGUAUGGCACGUACUGCAAAAGAACGGUGAAGCCUCAGUAUAUAAUUCCAAGUUUUUGCACCAACAGUCAUCUGUCCGUGGAAGACCAUGUCAUCCACCACAUUGCUCUUGGAGAUCUCCUUGGAACGGAAUGUCUGCGGUGCGGAUAG